rnacentral:lncRNA from 1 species
AUCAAAUCAGGAUUGCUCAACCUUGGCACUAUUGACAUUGGGACUGGAUGAUUCUGUUGGGGCUGUCCUGUGCAUUCUAGGAUGUUUAGUAGCAUCCCUGGCAUCAGCUGACCCAGUUUCAAGGUUUCUGUUACACUCUGAAAUUCCCUGAUUUGCUUUAGGAACCCCAGAUUCUUCUCCAUGGUCGGAAUCAUUGCAAAAUAACUGACGGAGUUUCACCAUGUUGGCCAGGAUGGUCUCUGUCUCUUGACCUCGUGAUCCGCCCGCCUUGGACUUCCAGAGUGCUGGGAUUACAGGCAUGAGCCACCACGCCCAGCCUUGUUUUUGUAUAUUUUGUAGAGACAGGUCUUACUAUGUUGCCCAGGUUUGUCUUGGAGCUCCACUCCAAGGUGGAGCUCAAGCGAUCCACCUGCCUCAGCCUCCCAAAGUGCUGGGAUUACAGAUGUGAGCCACCAUGCCCAGCCUUCAUGGGUAAGUUUUUUUUUUUCCUUUUCUUCCAAAUAUAUAAAUGGUAAGUCUUCUGCAAAUAAUAGGGCCUCCAGGUUUUACUUGCAAAAACAGGCCCAUGCUAUACACAUCAUUCUGCAAACUGCUGAAUACACUUCAUACAUUACAGACAUAUUUCUGUGACAGUAUAUUUUAGAGCUACCUUAUUUUUUUUUAAAUCCACAUAUUAUAAUUUGUUUAACCAGACCCUUAUUAUCAUUAUUUUUUAGAGAUGGGGUCUCACUCUCUUGCCCAGGCUGGAGUGCAGUGGCACAAUCAUAGUUUACUGCAACCUCGAACGCCUGGACUCAAGCAAUCCUCCCACCUCAGCCUCCUGCAUAGCUAGGACUACAGGUUUCCCUAGGAUCACCAGCUGUCAUGGACUGAUUUGUGUCUCUCCAAAUUCAUAUGUUGAAUACUUAACCUGCCAUGCGAUUGUGAUUGGAGAUAAUUCCUUUAGGGAAGCAAUGAAGGUUAAAUGAGGUCAUAGGUGGGAGCUUAAUCCAAUGGGACUGGGGUCCCUACAAGAAGAGGAAGACACCAGAGCUCUCUGUCUCCACACACAGAGAAAAGAGGCUGUAUGAGGACACAAGAGAAGGUAAUAGCUGUCUACAAACCAAGAAGAGAAGCCUCUCCAGAAAAUGAACCCUGCUGGAACUUGGUCUUGGACUUUCCAGCCUCCAGAACUGGGAGAAAAUAAAGUUCAAAAUAAAGUUCUGUUG